rnacentral:rRNA from 1 species
GAUGCCUUACACAUGCAAGUCGAACGGCAGCACGGGGGCAACCCUGGUGGCGAGUGGCGAACGGGUGAGUAACACAUCGGAACGUACCCUAUCGUGGGGGAUAACCAGUCGAAAGAUUGGCUAAUACCGCAUGAACUGGAGACAGCAAAGCGGGGGACCGGCGACGGCCUCGCGCGAUUGGAGCGGCCGAUGUCCGAUUAGCUAGUUGGUGGGGUAAAGGCUCACCAAGGCAUCGAUCGGUAGCUGGUCUGAGAGGAUGAUCAGCCACACUGGGACUGAGACACGGCCCAGACUCCUACGGGAGGCAGCAGUGGGGAAUUUUGGACAAUGGGGGCAACCCUGAUCCAGCCAUGCCGCGUGAGUGAAGAAGGCCUUCGGGUUGUAAAGCUCUUUCGGUGGGAACGAAACGGUUACAACUAAUACUUGUGACUACUGACGGUACUCAUAGAAGAAGCACCGGCUAACUACGUGCCAGCAGCCGCGGUAAUACGUAGGGUGCGAGCGUUAAUCGGAAUUACUGGGCGUAAAGCGUGCGCAGGCGGUCUCGUAAGCUGGGUGUGAAAGCCCCGGGCUCAACCUGGGAAUGGCAUUCAGGACUGCGAGGCUCGAGUGUGGCAA